UACAUGGGGUGCAAACGUUGCUCGGAAUUAUUGGGCGUAAAGCGCACGUAGGCGGUCCGUUAAGUCGGAUGUGAAAUCCCUCGGCUCAACUGAGGAAGUGCAUCCGAAACUGGCAGGCUUGAGUACGAAAGAGGGUCGCGGAAUUCCCGGUGUAGAGGUGAAAUUCGUAGAUAUCGGGAGGAACACCGGUGGCGAAGGCGGCGACCUGGGUCGAUACUGACGCUGAGGUGCGAAAGCGUGGGGAGCAAACAGG
rnacentral:rRNA from 1 species